AGCCACAAAACUGCAUUUCUGUGAAAGCACAGGUGUAGCUCGCUUUCGACUGGUGGCACGAAAGAAUCUGACAGCCUUCCUUAUGAACAUUAAAAGAUCGUCAGCAAUCCUCCCACCAUUAAUCCAAGGAGAAAAUACCGAAAGAAAUCUGGCCACACCUCUGCUUCAGAGACACAUCACCACACACUCUCUCCUCAGCACUGAGUCAACAUUUU